CGCAGCCUCGGCGGGGCCCGGCCGGCGGCGGGGAGGUCGCGGGGCCGGGAGGCGCGAGGUGCUGAGCCAGGUGUUCUACAUAAAUUAUCUCAUUUGUUUUUUCUGACAACAUAAUAAGAAAAAGAAAAACAUCCAUUCAUGAGAGUUCAGGGAUACGUGAAAAUGAAGCAAAUGAGGAAAGACCCAUUCACAUUCCUCCAAAAGAUCUGUGGCUCACUGGAAUCAUGUUACUGGCUCCUGGUAGUCCCUGACUUUACCUGUUUGUUCCAGGAACUUGCUUUAUGGCCAUUUGUUCUAAUGAUCAGUUUGGACAACCAACCUUUAUUCCUCCACCUCAGACAAUAUUCAACAUCCUGUAAUCAUCAUAGCGCUUAAUUAUCCUCUGUGAUCCACACUAAAGUAUUUUGAAGAAUAACAAAGCUCUCCAAGGGUCUUAAUACAGGUAC
rnacentral:lncRNA from 10 species